rnacentral:rRNA from 1 species
GACGAACGCUGGCGGCGUGCUUAACACAUGCAAGUCGAGCGGUAAGGCCCUUUCGGGGGUACACGAGCGGCGAACGGGUGAGUAACACGUGGGUGACCUGCCCUCAGCUCUGGGAUAAGCCUGGGAAACCGGGUCUAAUACCGGAUAUGACUCCAUGACGCAUGUUGUGGGGUGGAAAGCCUUGUGCGGCUGAGGAUGGGCCCGCGGCCUAUCAGCUUGUUGGUGGGGUGAUGGCCUACCAAGGCGACGACGGGUAGCCGGCCUGAGAGGGCGACCGGCCACACUGGGGCUGAGACACGGCCCAGACUCCUACGGGGA